CAUUUGGUUCCUCGCAAUGGUGUCUGGUGUAUCAGGUCAGGUUCGGAAGAAAGCAGCCAGCGUCAGAAAUUCCGUGUGCCGAGAUCAAGCUGGG
rnacentral:SRP_RNA from 1 species